rnacentral:tRNA from 3 species
GUCCCAGUAGCUCAGCUGGAUAGAGCAACAGCCUUCUAAGCUGUGGGUCAGGGGUUCGAAUCCCUUCUGGGACG